GGUCUGUGGCUCAGUGGUAGAGUGCUCGUCUAACACGUGUGAGGCACUGGGUUCACUCCUCAGCACCA
rnacentral:tRNA from 1 species